GAAGAAUUGGAAACUUAUGGGGUGAAAACUGCAAAUUCGGAGAAAAAGUGGGCCAAAAGUGAAAAAAUCAGAUUUCUGAAGAAUUGAAGACCGCGCGGCCGUGCGGAUUUCAAGCAUAAAUCUCACACGGCCGUCCGGAUGGUCGAGGUGGCGCAGUGAAGGAAUUUUAAUUACACAAGGAAACCCGCCCUAUUAUAUUUUUGCACCCUAUUUAAAGGCCAAAAACACACAAUUAGGAAUCAUCUUUUUAAUCUUUUAUCUUUAGUUUUUAUCUUUCAUCUUUCUACACGCAAUCAAGGAGCACAAGAACGAAGACGAAGAUUUGACGACUCUUCAUCAUAGUUCUCCUCUUUUAUUAGCUUUUAUGAUUUUUCGUAUUUUUAUUAUGCUUUUCGUAGAGAACAUGAG
rnacentral:lncRNA from 1 species